rnacentral:rRNA from 1 species
UGAAUACGAGACGCUAAGGCGUUGAAGUAGUGUAUGUCAUACUUCCAAGAAAAGCUUGCACUGUCAUAGAUAAAAAACGCCUGUACCAUAACCGACACAGGUGGGUAGGUAGAGUAUACUAAGGGGCGCGAGAUAACUCUCUCUAAGGAACUCGGCAAAAUAACUCCGUAACUUCGGGAGAAGGAGUGCCUUAUUUAUAAGGCUGCAAUAACAAGAUCCAAGCAACUGUUUAUCAAAAACACAGGUCUCCGCUAAGUCGUAAGACGAUGUAUGGGGGCUGACGCCUGCCCAGUGCCAGAAGGUUAAAGAAGUUGGUUAGCAAUAGCGAAGCUGAUAACUGAAGCCCUGGUGAACGGCGGCCGUAACAAUAACGGUCCUAAGGUAGCGAAAUUCCUUGUCGGGUAAGUUCCGACCCGCACGAAAGGCGUAAUGAUUUGGAUACUGUCUCGGAGAGGGGCUCGGUGAAAUAGACUUGUCUGUGAAGAUGCAGACUACCUGCACCAGGACAGAAAGACCCUAUGAAGCUUUACUGUAACUUGAAAUUGAAAUUGGACUUUAUUCGCGCAGUAUAGGUGGGAGGCGUUGAUUGUAAUCUUGCGGGAUUAUUGGAGCCAUCAGUGAGAUACCACCCUUGUAAUGUUAGAUUUCUAACUUUGAAUCAUUAUCUGGUCAAAGAACAGUUUCAGGCGGGCAGUUUGACUGGGGCGGUCGCCUCCUAAACGGUAACGGAGGCGUACAAAGGUUUCCUCUGAACGGUUAGAAAUCGUAUCUAGAGUGUAAAGGCAUAAGGAAGCUUGACUGUGAGACCUACAAGUCGAGCAGGGACGAAAGUCGGUCUUAGUGAUCUGACGGUACUGAGUGGAAAGGCCGUCACUCAACGGAUAAAAGUUACUCUAAGGAUAACAGGCUGAUCUCCCCCAAGAGUUCACAUCGACGGGGAGGUUUGGCACCUCGAUGUCGGCUCACCGCAUCCUGGGGCGGUAGUACGUCCCAAGGGUUGGGCUGUUCGCCCAUGAAAGCGGUACGCGAGCUGGGUUCAGAACGUCGUGAGACAGUUCGGUCCAUAUCCGGUGUAGGCGUUAGAAUAUUGAGAGGAGCCUUCUUUAGUACGAGAGGACCGAGAAGGACAUACCUCUGGUGUACCAGUUAUCGUGCCAACGGUAAACGCUGGGUAGCUAUGUAUGGAGUGGAUAACCGCUGAAAGCAUCUAAGUGGGAAGCCCACCUCAAGAUAAGUAUUCUC